rnacentral:rRNA from 1 species
UACAGAGGGGGCAAGCGUUAUUCGGAAUUACUGGGCGUAAAGGGCGCGUAGGCGGCCGCCUAAGUCAGACGUGAAAUCCCUCGGCUCAACCGGGGAACUGCGUCUGAUACUGGGUGGCUUGAAUCCGGGAGAGGGAUGCGGAAUUCCAGGUGUAGCGGUGAAAUGCGUAGAUAUCUGGAGGAACACCGGUGGCGAAGGCGGCAUCCUGGACCGGUAUUGACGCUGAGGCGCGAAAGCCAGGGGAGCAAACGGG